GCCUCGGUGGCCCAGCCCGGUAGGGCAGCAGCCUUGUAAGCUGCAAACCGGGGGUUCAAAUCCCCUCCGAGGCU
rnacentral:tRNA from 1 species